CCUACGGGAGGCAGCAGUGAGGAAUAUUGGUCCAUGGCCGGGAGGCUGAACCAGCCAAGUCGCGUGAGGGAAGACGGCCCUACGGGUUGUCAACCUCUUUUGUCAGGGAGCAAGGUGCAGGUCGGGACCUGCUGUGAGAGUACCUGAAGAAAAAGCAUCGGCUAACUCCGUGCCAGCAGCCGCGGUCAUACGGAGGAUGCGAGCGUUAUCCGGAUUUAUUGGGUUUAAAGGGUGCGCAGGAGGAGGCACAAGUCAGCGGUAAAAUCGCGGGGCUCAACCCCGCUCCGCCGUUGAAACUGUGGCCCUUGAGUGCGCGAAGGGUAGGCGGAAUGCGUGGUGUAGCGGUGAAAUGCAUAGAUAUCACGCAGAACUCCGAUCGCGAAGGCAGCCUACCGGCGCGCAACUGACGCUCAUGCACGAAAGCGUGGGUAUCGAACAGGAUUAGAUACCCCAGUAGGC
rnacentral:rRNA from 1 species